rnacentral:rRNA from 1 species
GAGAGUUUGAUCCUAGCUCAGGGUGAAUGCUGGCGGCGUGGAUAAGUCAUGCAAGUCAAGGGGGCCCGCAAGGGCAACCGGCAAACGAGGUAGUAACACGUAGGUACACCCCCUCGAGACGGGUAUAGCCAGUCGAAAGACUGGGUAAUUCCCGAUAGUCCCGCAAGGGUAAAGGCAGUUAUUUAUUUAAUUGUCGCUUGAGGAGUGGCCUGCGUAGUAUCAGCUUGUUGGUAGGGUAACGGCCUACCAAGGCUACGACGCUUAGGGGAGCUGAGAGGCUGACCCCCACCGAUGGGACUGCGAUAAAAGUUGUCGCCUUAGGGGAGUAAUCCCCAAUGAUAAAUCUUGCUCAUAACGGUGGAACCUGACUGAUGGGUGUAUGAUAAUACCCAUCAAAGGCAAUACCGUGGGAAGUCGACACUAUCUUUCAGACGCAUACUUAGCAGGAUUCUUGGACGGAGACGGCUCUGUUGUGGCAACGCUUGAGCGUUAUCACAGUAAGCGAUUUCCGUAUCGUGUGCGCAUUAAAGUGAAUUUCACCCAACAUGCGAGACAUAAAGAUAAACUGUUGCUCAUGCAAGAAACGCUCGGAGGUUACGGAGUAACCCGUACCAACGCGCGCAAAAAUCUUGCGGAGCUAGUUAUCCAAGAACGAAGCGAAGUACAAGCGGUGCUCGUGCGACUCGUGCCAUUUCUUCUGAUAAAGAAAGACCAGGCAAAUCUGGCUCUUGAAGUAUUGAAAGGAAUGGAAUCAAACGAGAAGCAUAAACCGAGCACGCUGUCUAAAAGAGCGUAUAUUCGUAUUCUGUUAUUAGUACAGAAAAUUCGUGCCCUAAACUCCCAUACGGGAGGUAAGCGCACAAUACGAGUGUUUGACCCCGUAACGACUGAAUUUCCGGAGAAGACCGGAAUGAAGACGGGACUUUCGAGUCCUGUAAGACGCAAGCCCCUCGCGCGAACGAGGGUGAAAGUAUAGUCUGUGCCAUAAGAAAUUAUGGAAUAAACGACGGCCCAUACUCCUACGGGAGGCUGCAGACGAGAAUAUUCCGCAAUGGGCGAAAGCCUGACGGAGCGACGCCGCGUGAUGGAUGAAGUGCCUUGGUACGUAAACAUCUUUUAUCGGGGACGAAGUUUAUUGACGGUAC